CUGUUCCUAUUGACAACAUACCUGGAGAAGGAUAGGAAGCACAGCUUUGGUAAUUGUUUCCCAGGGGGAACAUAUAAAGCAUCCCUUGGUACGGUUCAGGUGAGACCUGUGUAGAUGUUACAUUAUCCGGGGUGUAGUUUCCCCUAGGAACAGAUCUAGGAUCAGCUUCCCCUCCCACAAUACUAACCUUAACCAUUAGUUGGGGAAAUGCAAGUAAGUGACUGAUGUGUUUAAUGUUCCUGUAGCCCUGCUAGUCCCCAUCGAACGAAGUCAAUGUGUGAUUUGUUCAGGGAGGAGACCCUCAAUUCAAUGCCACUGUAGAGGAAAGAGAAUGGAUAUGAUGAUACAGACACAUGGUUGAAGGAAAAUGAUGUUGAAUAUAAUAAUAAACUACAUUAAUCAAUCUGACUCCAAUAUAAUGUGAAUAGAAACAGGCUCUGUGUGUUUCUGGAGGAAUCUAAUUACAUAUAACUAUAAUGAACAUGUGUCUAUCUUGCACCGUUCUGCAAAUAUUAAAAGAAUAGUUACAAAUAGCUAAUCCUGGCGACCAAUGUUUAAAGGUGGUAGCCAAGCAUGUACUAUGUGUCGUGUAGAUAACAACUAUCAAUCGACCUACUAAACUAUAAAUGUCAAUCAAAUAACACGAGGAUUGCAUUUACUCAAUUCAACUAAUAGGAUGUAUUAGCCAUGAAUGAAUUAACACUACAUUACAAAAUAAAAGCGAGUAAAUGACUAUCAGCUAAAUAAGACUUGUGGUUACAUGUAUCUUCAAUUCAAAAUCAUCUUUAAGAUAAAAAACUGUGUGUGGAGAGUGACCCUGAAUAGCCAACAGUACACCUGCUCUCCCACUAUGCCCACUCCACAUAGUUCCCCUGGGAAUGUCCCUCCCGGGAGAACGACACAUAAGGUGUUUAACCCAAUGAUUUAUAUGUACAUUAGAUGACUAACAUUGGCUGCUGUUUGGAAGCCACAGAGCCUCCAUCUUGUAAAACAUAUUUUGGAAGCUAUAGAAAUGGAUUCAUUCAUUAAUGUCUACAUUUGUUUUUGCCAAUAUUUACGCCUUCUGGGGAUGGCCAAUAUGGCCGACCGGUGGCUUCAAAGCUUUUAAUUAGAAAAUACACUGAGUGUAAAAAACAUAAAGAACAUGUUCGUAAUAUUGAGUUGCACCUCCUUUUUCCCUGACGAAUUGAGGCUGUUCUGAGGUCAUAGACUCUAUCGAAAGCGUUCCAAAGGGAUGCUGGCCCAAGUUGACUCCAAUGCUUCCAAUAGUUGUAUCAAGUUGGCUGGAUGUUCUUUGGAUGGUGGGCCAUUCUUUAUACACACAGGAAACUGUUGAGUGUGAAAAACCCAGCAGUGUAGCAGUUCUUGGCACAAACCGUUGCACCUUCUUUAACCUGUAUCUUCCCCUUCAUCUACACUGAUUGAAGUGGAUUUAACAAGUGACAUCAAUAAGGGAUCAUAGCUUUCACCUGAUUCACAUGGUCAGUCUAUGUCAUGGAAAGAGCAGGUGUUCAUAAUGUUUUGUGCACUCAGUGUACAUCAUACAUCACAAGAUAUCACUAGGUUACUAAACCCGUCUGUGAGUACCUGUGCAGUUGGAGCAGGAGACUAGGGUCUGGUAACAUCAUAAGCUGCACCAGGGUAAAACCCUUCAUAUUGACUGCGUCUGAAAUGGCAUUUUCUUCAGUCACCAUUCUUUUCAAGAGCUCUUCAUCCAUGCAGAAGAAAUGUACUUUUUUCAUGAACUCUGUCAUGUUUGUUCUAUUCAUGAAAACAAAAUCUAUUCAUAAUGGGCUUUUCGUUUUUGAGUGAUACACAAAAGUAUGUGGACACCCCUUCCAAUUUGUGGAUUCUGCUAUUUCAGCCACACCCAUUUCUGACAGGUAGUAAGGCAGCCUGUUGCUGAGUGCGUUAGUGGUGGGGAGGGGGGAGGGGUGUGCGUAUGUUGAGACUGAGCGCCGCAGCAGGCAUAAGUCACAUGAGCAGCACGCUCGCACGGCAUGACAACUUUUAACCAGUUGUAGGUAGAUUGUCAUUAUGGAGACACAUAUUCCCAACCCUUUUUCCAUAAAACAUAUUGACGCGCUAUGAACUGAUGCGCAUCAGGAAAUAAAAAUAAUAUAUUUUUUAGUUUGUGUAGUCUACCCAGUGAGCAAAAUGACGUAGAAAAUACGUAUUUUCUCACUUAUGUAUGUUCAAAAUGCGUAUUUUGUGGAUGUUUGCAGUAUGGGUGGAAUUUAUUUUAAUAAAUAUGCCAAUCUGUCACAUGCAUUUUAUGUAAGCUUUAUAAAUUAGCUUUAACGAUGUCAGUGACGUUGAAAAAAAUAAACCAACUACAAUAGCAUUCAUUGUAACGGUUAUAGAAAUGUUUCUUGUUAUGACUGAUAUAUUUUUGUAUAUCUACAUUAGUUGAAUGCACUGACUAAGUCGUUCUGGAUAAGCUGAACGACCUAAAAGUUAAAAUUAAAAAAAUAUAUAUAAAAAACCGAACAAGGCAUGCUGGGUAUUAUCCUAAUAAAAGUCACCAACAAACAAGUACCAAUUUGGUUAGUCCGGCCCAGACCAAAUCUGAAAGAAUCAUAGACGUCAAGGCUGUUUCACAAGUUUGAACAGUAUUAUGGCACAGUACUAUUCAGAGUACAGUACAAUAUAGUUUAAUUCCGUAGAGUACAAUAUGGUACAUUCUACUGUACUCAACUAUACCUCAUUUUCUCUACUGUGCUGUGCUGCGCUCUUCUGUACUGUGCUGUGAAACAUAGACGCCUAUGAUUGGGACAAGUCAAGGCAGGACCAAAUCUUAACCAAACAUAGACGCCCAAAAGACCUCGGGCGCCAAUCCAUGCUUAUUGUGUUUGCUCAUGUUUCAUUCCUCAAGUGAAAUGGGUUUAGUAAUUUAACUAAAUCGCUCUGGAUAAGAGCACCUGCUAAAUGACUGAAAAUGGGAAUGGGUCUUAUUGUCAGGAAGUUCAUCAGAUGAACACAAGAGUACCACUGUUAGAGUUGCGUAAAUUCAAAUCUGGUAUCAGGAUAAAUAUAACAAUGAGUCACCGAUUUUUAUACUAUGUAUUUUUUAUUAGCUAAGUAAUACAUUACAUUACAUUUAAGUCAUUUAGCAGACGCUCUUAUCCAGAGCGACUUACAAAUUGGUGAAUUCACCUUCUGACAUCAGUGGAACAGCCACUUUACAAUAGUGCAUCUAAAUCAUUUAAGGGGGGGGGGGGGAGAAAAUAAUAAAUGGCAAAUGCAACUUUCGUAUAUACGGGCUCACUGUAAUACCACGCAGGACAGGGAACUGACAAGACGUAUGUAAAACAGUAUUCUUUAUACUGUGAUAGACAGUUCCAACCCCUUCUGUUGGCCUAUCACAGUAGAGACUGGGCGUGGUUUAAACUUGUCCAGCCUAUUGCAGGCGCUCAGGCGGGUCCCCGCCUCUUGGCGCUUCUGUUGAUAGAUGUAACUUGCUUGUGAAGAACAUCCAGGCUCUCAUGCUCCAUACCGUUAUCUCGCACCUGGCUCCUGUUAUCUAACAAAAGACUGCUUGUUCUCGCAACACCCCGCUCUGAAUGUGCCCCCCUCCCAACUCAUUUGAACAGUUCCUGUCUUCAAGCUUCUCUGUAUUUUUCCAUCAUGAGAAAGUCCCAUGGCCCUGAUACUUUUAACAAUGUUUCAAGUCAGCUAUGUUGCAUAACACAUACAUACAUCCACACAAGCCAACAGCAGAUAAUAUUCAAUCAUAUAUAUGGUAAUGGCAAUGAUGCAAAAUACAGGAUCCAACACCACCAUAUUGAAAGCUCAAUGAUUCUGUGUUUAUAUGUCAAUUUCCCAACCCCUCUGGAUCAAUGCACAUUUACCAUUAUGCAGAGGACUAUUCAUUUCUAUACCAGGCGGGCAUCUGCGCUAAUUUGAGAACACAGCAUAGAAUGCGGAAGGGAAUUGGAUUCUGUUUUUUCCAUUUCAAUUGUUUAUCAUCCGUGCAUGAUAGGGAGAAGACCAAUCUAGAAUUAGGCCAAAAUGCUGUUUAUCACUUCAGUUAGUUGACCUCAUAGCCUAACAUGGUCAGAGUGCCAAUCUGUUUUUGCUUUAAUGUACUGUGUUUUGCAUGACAGUUCUGCCAGGAUUUGGCAAAAGAGCAGAAACAGAAUGGCCUAAUCUAACAUGACAUGUACAAUCAAACUUUCAAAAUGACUUUGAAAGCAGGUGUGAUUUCUGUAUAUGUGAAUGAUAUGAUCCCAUAAAAUGAUUGUUUGUGUAACCCACCCUCUUGCCUAUAGGUGGUAUCUGGGAUGAAGUACAUCUUCACAGUGCAGAUGGGCAGGACCCCAUGCAGGAAGGGAGGUGUUGAGAAGGUCUGCUCCGUGCACAAGGACCCACAGAUGGCUGUGCCCUACAAGUGCACCUUCGAGGUGUGGAGCCGCCCCUGGAUGAGCGAUAUCCAGAUGGUCAAGAACCAGUGUGAAAGUUAAGACCCAGUGAAGAGAACUUCAAUCAGCGUCUAGUCUACCCAAUAACUACUCUCUAGUACUAGUGUUAUUUGUUAGUCUUACCAAUGCAGUUCAACCUCCUUGUCUAGGAUGUGUUCAGAGAAUCCCACUAGUAAAAGAUGUUCAAACGUAUUGCAUGCCCACAUUAAUAUAAGCACUUAAUGCAAACAUUGCUGUCUUGAGAAUAUAGUAUUAAAAUGAUGCAACAGUUAACUAAAUAAAUGUUUUGGAACGUU